GUCCAUCCUUGCUGUUGAUUAUCCUGUGGACAAGGUCUCAUGCUAUGUGUCAGAUGAUGGUUCAGCAAUGCUAACAUUUGAAGCCCUUUCUGAGACUGCAGAGUUUGCAAGGAGAUGGGUUCCCUUCUGCAAGAAAUUCAGCAUUGAGCCUCGGGCCCCUGAAUUUUAUUUUGCUCAAAAGAUAGAUUAUUUGAAGGACAAGGUUCAGCCUUCUUUUGUGAAAGAGCGCAGGGCAAUGAAGAGGGAGUAU
rnacentral:misc_RNA from 1 species